UUUGUAGCCCCCCCCCAAGGGCUGGCGUUGGCCGCUCGCCGAGGGCGGAGUUGAACUCAGAGCGCGGGGCGGGGCCGGAAUGGAGCCGCAGGUGGCGCAGCGGCAGUUUCACGGAGGGACCAGGUUGAUGCCUCUCCCCAGGCCGCUGGCGCUGCACGAACCCCGGACAAAAGGGAGAACGUGUGAAAGCUGCGGCAAGGUGAGGUUUAAGAUGUGCAAGCAGAGACGGUUUGCAGUGUGCAGUCACCCGUGCUGAGCAAGGUCCUUGAGGGCAGAGCUCCUCUUUGUACAGCAUGGGAGCCGAGGCCACCACGCACACCAAUACAAGGAUGCAAACGAAGGAUGCAAGGCACACACUAACUAUUGGACAAUUACUUUACUAACACUAAGGUAUUAUUGGCCAUUAACGUAUAGUUUCUAUUGGUUAUUAGCACCUAUAUUGAUGUAAGGUGAUUGGUAUUUUAUGUAUGCAAAUGAGGGAUUCUAAGGUGCACAAGAUUUUAAUUGGUCAAUAUCUGUAUAAAAAGAGAACUCUACUGCAGCUUUAGAGCGAUUCGGUGACAGGGGCUGAAGUGUUCUCCUUGUGCACAAGUAAAUAAAGGGAGUGAGAAAUGAG